GGGGUGUGCUCAGAGCAGGGGGCCUGAAGAAAUGGCUUGUCUGUUUAUAACACACCCGACAGGAAUCUGGGUUCACUGUGACGAGGGGCACAAAAUGUGUGGCCUUCCUAUGAGCAGAAACCUGACACGU
rnacentral:snoRNA from 1 species